UUAUUUGUUCCUAUUUAUGGGUGGAGUUGUUGUGUCCUUGGGCUUAUAGAUGUCUGGUGCUCAAGUAGAAUCACUUUCAUUGCUUGGAAGAGCUGCUUGAACACUGCACAAAGGCUUUGCUGCCAAGUCUGCUUACCAAACCACUACAAAACAUAUCCAACAAUGAACUUUGGCCCUUGGGGGAUGAUGAAUCCUAUGGGUCACAUGGUGCCUUCUGGGUACGGACCACAGCCAUUUUUCUGUAACGGUAAUAUGCCUUACGCUGGGAUGCCUUAUCCACAGAUGAAUAUGAUGGUCCCACCAACCCCAUUCCAAGACAGCAUGCAUUCCUAUGAAACUAAAGUCAAGUUUACUCGCUAAUUGCCUGAUACAGGAAAUGGUGCUCGCAAACAAACAGUUGUCUAUAAGAAUGGCAAUGUUUUGUAUGCUGAAGAAGUCAAAUGUUAAUCAUCUCAUAAAGAUUUUUCAAUCAUUCAGCAAUCAUGCCUGAAUUAUUGCUUAAUAAAUGUUGAUUCUUUCAGUCUGCUUUCUUUUUCUUUUUGGGUUUCUGUUUGCCCUCAGUGAUUUAGAUUUUUUUGUCAUUAAUCAGAGGUGAAAAUCAAUAAAUGGUCUUUAAACACAGUAGCGUGUUUGUAUGUAUUGCCAAACAUCCUCUUGACAAAUGCUGUGACAUGUAAACUGACCUGUUAAUAUGUGUGAAAUGUGUCCAUGGUGGCAUAAUAAAUAAUGUUAUAUUAUUGGUAUAACAGAGCCAUUUUAACAUCAAGA